AAACAAAAACAUAGGGGUUUGGAGGUUGCUGUGGCCGUUCAAAACAGGGCGCAGGCAGGCAGCAAGGACUCCAGUCCCUCCGGAAUCCCUCGAGAGAAGCCCCACAGAACCGCAGGGAGAGAAAGAAGAGGGCACAGAGGAGCCUAGAGUUUUACACUGAGUGAGAGGAACACAGCGAUAGUAAAUGCCCGAAGCUCCUCAGCUGUCCCGCUGCAUAGGAUGUUGCGGGGUCACUUUAUGGUCUUGUAUGCCACCCCUUCCCGACCCCGCACCCUUCCCGCUCAGGCAGAGGCGACGGGAGCCAGGCGAGCGUGGCAGUUGCGCCUCAGAGUCCGAGAGGCGCCUCAAAGCCUGCUCUUGGAGCUAUAAUUAACUGCAUACAAAGAAUGUGCCUCGUUUACACAUGGCAGCCAGGAAAGACGCCUGAGCUUUGAAGACGACUGCUAUCGCGUUUUCGAUCAUGUUUCCCCACAUAUUACACCACGAAAUCUCCAUGUGUGGUAGUUUCAGAGUUAUACGUUUUUGUAUUGAAGAUGUUAUUUUGUUUGCCCGUGCUUUUAUGUAUUUAUGAAUUGAUUUAUGUAAACGAAAGUAAAGAUGAAUCUUUGUUCAUCCCCUCCUUCAUCACACAUUCCUGUGAAUUAUUCGGUAUAAUGCGCGUGCACGAGGCUAUGCAUAUGUGGAAACAUAUAUUAACACAACCAACGGGUAGGAAUUAAAUUAUUCUGUUUGACACUAAAAGUCAUUUCCAUAGAUGAACUGCGUUUUGUCGAUCGAGAUGUUUGGUUUUCUUUCUGCCAUUUUGAAAUAAAUGCACGCAAUAUUAAAAACACGUAAACAAAAGGAAAAAUAUACAA